rnacentral:snRNA from 1 species
AACCUGCGGUACACCGCGAGAA